rnacentral:rRNA from 1 species
UACGGAGGGUGCGAGCGUUGUCCGGAAUCACUGGGCGUAAAGGGCGCGUAGGUGGCGCGGGAAGUCAACGGUGAAAGUUCGGGGCUCAACCCUGAAUCGGCCGUCGAUACUCCCGGGCUCGAGCGCUGUAGAGGCAGAUGGAAUUCCGGGUGUAGCGGUGGAAUGCGUAGAGAUCCGGAAGAACACCGGUGGCGAAGGCGGUCUGCUGGGCAGUUGCUGACACUGAGGCGCGACAGCGUGGGGAGCAAACAGG